UAAUGGGUCAGCGACUUAUAUUCUGUAGCAAGGUUAACCGUAUAGGGGAGCCGAAGGGAAACCGAGUCUUAACUGGGCGUUAAGUUGCAGGGUAUAGACCCGAAACCCGGUGAUCUAGCCAUGGGCAGGUUGAAGGUUGGGUAACACUAACUGGAGGACCGAACCGACUAAUGUUGAAAAAUUAGCGGAUGACUUGUGGCUGGGGGUGAAAGGCCAAUCAAACCGGGAGAUAGCUGGUUCUCCCCGAAAGCU
rnacentral:rRNA from 1 species